CGGCGGACGGGUGAGUAACACGUGGAUAACCUACCUAUAAGACUGGGAUAACUUCGGGAAACCGGAGCUAAUACCGGAUAAUAUUUUGAACCGCAUGGUUCAAAAGUGAAAGACGGUCUUGCUGUCACUUAUAGAUGGAUCCGCGCUGCAUUAGCUAGUUGGUAAGGUAACGGCUUACCAAGGCAACGAUGCAUAGCCGACCUGAGAGGGUGAUGGCCACACUGGAACUGAGACACGGUCCAG
rnacentral:rRNA from 1 species